rnacentral:rRNA from 1 species
GACGAGCGCUGGCGGCGUGCCUAAUACAUGCAAGUCGAACGAAGUCUUCGGACUUAGUGGCGGACGGGUGAGUAACACGUGGGAACGUGCCUUUAGGUUCGGAAUAACUCAGGGAAACUUGUGCUAAUACCGAAUGUGCCCUUCGGGGGAAAGAUUUAUCGCCUUUAGAGCGGCCCGCGUCUGAUUAGCUAGUUGGUGAGGUAAAGGCUCACCAAGGCGACGAUCAGUAGCUGGUCUGAGAGGAUGAUCAGCCACAUUGGGACCGAGACACGGCCCAAACUCCUACGGGAGGCAGCAGUGGGGAAUCUUGCGCAAUGGGCGAAAGCCUGACGCAGCCAUGCCGCGUGAAUGAUGAAGGUCUUAGGAUUGUAAAAUUCUUUCACCGGGGACGAUAAUGACGGUACCCGGAGAAGAAGCCCCGGCUAACUUCGUGCCAGCCGCCGCCGUAACAC